rnacentral:rRNA from 1 species
UAGGGAAUCUUCCACAAUGGGCGCAAGCCUGAUGGAGCAACACCGCGUGAGUGAAGAAGGGUUUCGGCUCGUAAAGCUCUGUUGUUAGAGAAGAACGUUGGUGAGAGUGGAAAGCUCAUCAAGUGACGGUAACUACCCAGAAAGGGACGGCUAACUACGUGCCAG